UGCACGAGGGAGGGAGGGUGGGGGAGGAGGGCAUUUGAAGCUCGCACCAACCCUGCUCAUGCGUCCCCAGGGUGAAUGGACAUUGGAGAGAGAUUAAGGUGUUAGUUCCUUGUGCGUUCUUAGCCUCUGUCGGUUGGGGCUCUGUUGUUUCCGUGAGCAGGGAUGUAGAUGUGAGGUCCCAGAUUUGAGCCCCCUUCAUCCACCCAGGUUGAAAUCAGGUGCUCUGAAUCACUCUGCUUCUCAAAUGUAGCGUCACAGAUCCAGCAGGCAAAGUUAGUAAGACACAUGUCGCUGUGGACAGACUGACCUGUUCAUUCUAGACUUGUGUUAGCACUUGUUAGAAAUUUCAAAGUGUGUAGGAAACUAUGUUUGCAAGUGACAUGUUCACAAACCUGCCUCGUCAGGGCCACUCUGUGGCUUUUAGAUGGUUCCCCUGGUGUUCUUUCACUGGAGGGUGCACCCCUUUGGAGGGGGCUGAAGAACGGGUCAGGAGGGUCACAGUCCCUUGACUUUGGGUGCCAUCUCCACUAUCCACUGAUAGUGGCUCUCCUUAGGCAAGUCCUCAAGCUCCCUCGGUUCCCUUGCCUGUAGGAUGGGGUAAUAGACCUUAACCUGUAAGGUUUCCCUGAAAGUAGCUUGGGCAGUGUCUGAGCCAGGCCUGCGUGUUAUGGACAAUUAAAGUAGCCCGAAUAGGUUGGGUGACUUUUCGUAAGCGCAGAUUAGCUGGGACCCAGCUCUGGCUUCCUAUCUUCAUGAGGCCACUGUGUCUCCUGUCCAUAAAAGCAUCGUGAAGAAUCCAAGUGUUUGCAUAGUCUAAAGGGGAACUUUGAGUAAAUGUUAAGUAUGGGGAGUGCUUUUGUGUCAGGGUUUUAGUUUGUUUGAAGAGGGUGGACCCUGUACACUUGAACAGUGUCCACAACAAUGCAAACGUGACAGCUAGACCUGGAUCAGCCUUGGAAUUCUGUCACAUUCUGAGUGUCCAGCCUACCAGGUGAGCACACCUCUCAAGGAUAGCAGUGACCUUCGCAGCUGCCUCGUGCUCAGUGCGUGCUCUCUGCCCCUCCCUAGCUUCUGCGUCAGGAGCUUCUGGUUUGACCUUGUUUCCCUUUCUCCUAAGACUGUCCUGAUCAGCAAUCAGAGAUAGGCCAGGACCAGCCACACAGCCAUUGAGAUCUGAGCCCAGGAUGUGUUCUACACUGUGAGGAGGGAAGCUUCCUGUACCAAGAGGGGAAAUGAGAUAUUUGAGCUACCCUCAGAUGCUUUUCCUUCCACCAGUGAAACAGCCAUAGGAUGUAGAGGAAUCUUCUCUUUCCCUGAGGACCUUCACUUGGACAGGGCAGAAGGGAUGAGUAUGGUUUGGUAUAGUAAGUAUAUUCUCACCUCCAAUUAUAGCGCUGUUUGACUUGCCCUGACUUGUAAAUUGUAUUUACAUUAUGAAAAUGGUUCCUGCGCUCUUCAGCAAUACCAGUGUGAUAGCCUGGGAAGUGGCCCCGCAGGAGAGCGGCUUCCCUAGAGUGUGUGAAGCCCUGAGUUCAGUCCCCGGUACUGUCAAAAGCAAACAACAACAGCAAACCAUCUGUAAAAAUUACAGAAACAGUGUGCCCCAUCUUAAGUAUCUGAAAAUGAGGAAGAAAAGUGUCAGGGCAACUAUCCAAAGGCACUGAAGAGCAUGCAGGUCGGACAUGGUCUGUCUCCAUCAGCAACGGCCUACAGCAGACACUUGUGUUCCCUGCCGGCCUUGACCCCCCCCCCCAUCCUGACACCCUCGCCCAACGUGAAGGCAGGACAAACUCCUAAGAAAAAGCUACCCUCUUCUGGCAUGUAGGCAGAGCACUAUUAUCUGUAAUAAAUAAGUGAAUCUAGAGGGGGGAGGGGCAGGAAGGAAGGAAGAGUAAGCUACCCUCUCACCAGCGUGGCCCCAUGUCUGCUCAGAACAAGCCCCGUCGCCCUUGAGACUACCUUGACCAGGAAUUGGAGCAGUUCUCCUUCCCUCCCCAUGUUUUCAGGUCGUCAAGAUCUCCCGCUCUCUUCUAUGUGAAACAAGUUAAUAGGUUUGUCAAAAUACAAAAUGUCAUAUUGUUGUCAGCUUCAAAGGAUGCCUGACUGUCGGAUGACACACAUGGAUUGCUGUUAAGUGACUGUGCCCUCAGACAGGUCUGAAAAACCCUAGGGGGUGGCAGUAGAGUCUGGUGAAUGUCAUCUGGGAGGAAAGAGGAUUUCCAUGUUUGAAAUUUGGGGACAAAAACAACUUUGUCUUUCCUGCAAGGGUUAAUGCGCUAGCCAGCUUCAAAUUGGUUCUCUUGAAUCUUAAAAUUACUUUUCUGGUCACGCGCUCAGAAGGUCUACACAUUUGUGAAUCACCCCCACCCCCACCCCACCCCAUGCUAUUCUCUUCGGCUGUCUUAAUUACACAGGGGUUGGGAAACCAAAUUAAAACUAGGCGUGGCUGGGUAAACAUCGACUACAUUGCAAGCUUCUAGCUUCACUGCUGGGGUGGUUUCUCCUCCCUCCGUAGCUCUGCUUUUCACUUGCUUUUCUAAAGGAAAUAGCACGAGGUCUUUUGGAAAUACUCACAGGAAGUGGUCGCUGGAUGCUGGUUACUCACCAGCCCCAGAGUCCUGACAGGUGGCAGGUGUGGCUGCCUCUCCUGCUUAUGUGAAAGUAGCCCCCAGAGGGGCAGGCGCAGGGCUGGUUGGGUGCACAGCCAAGUGGCUUUCACGAGGUGACUGGUCAUUGCCUGUUGUCUGGGGGAAGGGUGACUCAGGGCGCUGGGCCGGGGUCGGGGCACACACGUGGUAGCUACUCUGGAGUUUCUGCUCUAUUCUCAGAAUGCAGGCUGUCUCCUAAAAAUGCUCCCUCCCUCCCACCCCCAACAGUCCUUCUUCCUCAGUGAGUCACUUCCAGAAAUGAGUAGCCGCAGAGUUUGGAAUGAGCAUUGUGAAAUCCCUCGUUUAUAAUGGCAGGUUUUCAGUUGGUGGCCUGAUCAGACAGACAGUUUCUCAGGAUCAGAAUGAGAGCUUGUCUUUAAAAAGAAAAAAACAGUGAGAGAAAGAGAAGAAAGAAAGAAAAACGGAAAGUAAACCCCUUGGAUUCAGAAAGCAAAAGUCUGCCACUGAAGAACUGUCACAGCCGACCUAGCCUGGUCUGUGUCAAGUUGUGUAUCCUUAGAUUUGCCUGCAUGGAUGAGUUCUUGGAAUUACCGACCUCUCACCGGUAGUAGCUGGUGAUUUCCGAUGCAGAAGGUCACUAACUACAUGAAACGGCUCUCUUCUGGGACAAGUCCAGCCUCUGCUUGGGGAUCCUUGGGUGACCGGUCAACCGUGAGUAUGUGUGACAACAGUUUCUGGUUCUCAGAAUCUUGCCUAGAAACUUCUAACUGGCAUUUUGUCUAAGGAAGGGCUUCCAAAAACUGUCGAUGCUGGUGUAUUUGUAAUACAUUUCACUUAGCAUGGAAAGUACUAUGGGUGUGAGCAUAACUUCAGAAACAAACAUAAUCUAUGGGCAACUAUGGAAACAGAAUUUAGAUUUAUUUAUAUCUUUAGAGCAUACAGAUAAAACUACAGUUGCAGUUUUGGUGCACUAAGUGCUUCUUUAUUAUUUAAAGCAUAAUAGCAAAUAAAUCCGUAUAUUGUAGGAAAAAAUGAAAGAUGUGCAUUUGUGACAAGUGAUGUAAUAUUUAUGAGAGAGGCUUGUGAGUCCUGAUACUCUGAUUAUAUACCAGUACUAGCAAAUGAACUUCAGAAGAUAGCAAAGAAAGUCUGCCUAACCUGUGUGAAAGCAGAGGUUGAGAGAAGACAGCCAUGACAUUGCAUAUACAGUAUUGCCUUUGUGUUGAGUAUGCUGACUCUUGCCUCCUAAUCACAUCCUCAAAUUACAUCCAAAGGAUACUUGGUGGGUGGUUACUAUGGGUAUUCUCAUUCUCUCACCAGCGGGCUGAGUAGAAGGUGGAGAUGGUGUGUCUUAUUUAUUGAGUGUACUGAGUUAUAUCCCAGUGCCUUAGAGUACAGUUAUCAGUAUGUUCUGGAUGCUAGACACUCCCCCGCCCCUUGAGAUUCUGGUGAAGCCAUGAAUUCCUUUAACUGCACCAAUACACAACAUUUGGUUGCACUUGGGGACAUCCAUAGACACAGAAGCCUCUGUAGAUGCCCCAGGUGUAGGAGGUUGAGCUGGUCCCUGGGGCCUUAUCCUGACUGGACUGUUAGGCUUCCCAAAGAACUGCUGUGUUAAGAGCAGGAAAUAACCCGGCCAGAAGCCAGUCCAUGAGGCUGCUGGGUGGAGGUCAGAGGCAGAGAAAAGGACAAAGGAUGGAGGACACAUGACUAACAGUAAAUAUUAGAAAGUGUUGUUGUCAGGAGUGUCACACGUGGGACCCAGAACUCUGCCUAUUUAGUCAGGUAAUUAUGAGUUCAGGGUAGAGAGCUAAAGAGUCAUAGUAAACAGCUUUACCCACUUUUUCUCAAAUCAAUUCAGGAAGUCUUUCUCUCCUUCCCUCUUUGGUUAGUGUUUCCAUGGUGUGUGCCCCAAGUCAGGUAGGAGCACAAGUCGCCUGAACUUGAGGAUGUAACUCCUCUAGCAUUUCAUAGUUAUAUUCCUGGGAAGAAGUGUGGCAGGGUAAGCAUAUGAGGAUGUUGUUGAAUGCAAAAGGAACAGUGUUUGAAAAAAUACAGUCUUUAUUGUUCAUUAGCUCCGUUGAGUAGCAUCGGAGCCAUUGUGGAAAAGGAAGACACGAAUCUUGAGUGUGUUAAAAGGAGUAUAAGAUGAAGGCUAAAAGGGCUGGGUUUGACGUUCGUCAGAGUCACUGUACUCAGUCUGAGUCAUGCUUGAAGAAAGAUGUUGGGCGAUUGUGAGUUGCUGAUACCCAGUCAACAGAAUUACACACCCUUCAGUGAAAAGAUAAGAAACUGAGGGUUUUAGUUGGAAGGCAAGGGAGGUUCUGUUACUGAUGGUCGUAUGCACUAACUGCUUGAUUUCUCUUGUCUCCUUGGGCCUCCAUGCUGCCCACUUUCCCUAACUUGUAGCACAGUGCAUAGCUGUUGGUUUAGAAAUGCUUGUAACACUUUGAUGAUAGCCUCACUGAGAGUAAGUACAUCCAGAUAAAUCCAAAGAGCUGUUGUUGUGACACAGGAAUAAUUAAUAUAUCUUCUGGCUGUGAAAAAUUGGUAAGGUGACAAAAUAGUUGAGCCGAGGGAUGUGAAUGAUAAUUUUCUCGAAAGAAAGUAACUAUUUUGAGUGGUAGGACAUUUAUUCUUUCAACAGUCACUCAGGGCCAGUCGGUAGACAGGCACAAAAGGAAGACUGUGAUGCUUAGUUACACUACUAUGGGGACAUAAAGCAGCAUGUGGUGGGGGCUCGUGACUUUCCGCCACCACCCUGUGUGACUUCCUGAUGCAGUUGAAGUACGGAAUGCCUCCUUACAGGGCAGCCAUCGAGGCUAGCAAGAUGCAGUUAGUGGUGAGCCAUUCCCAUGAGGACCUGGUACAUAGGGACACAGACCUAGGAGGUGUGUGGCAGAAGGCAUGGGUCCAGGAAGGAAUAAUGAGAGCCAGACAUUGGGGAAGCCCUAGUUUACACAAGACUAGUGUACCACACACGGUGGCCUGAUGAUUCCCAAGAGGGUAGCCUGGUUAGACAUCCAACGUGGACAGACAACCCGGCAGCCGUGAAAGGACUUGGUUUAGAGUGUGGUGGGGGUAAACGGUAAAGGGGCUCCUGACACAUGGAGGAGUGGAUUCCCGGGAGAGGAGUGAGCAGGCGGAUAAGGCAAAAUGGGCACAAUGCUUGUAGUAUCCCUCACUGUGGAACCGUGAAACAAUGCCAGAGGGAAGUCCAGGCCUGGAGGAAUGAACAGGUGACGUGACAGAGAACACAAUGACUAGGUAAUGAGGAUGUGAGAGAAGGAGUGAGUAGGAAGUCGGAUUAAUGGACAUGGACUUCGAAUUUGAUGAACAAACAAUUCAAAUGAGCAGGUGGUCUUGACUGGUGUGUACACCCUUUUCCAAAGCAGUGGUCAUUCUCUUUUGCAUUGGUUAUUAGUUGGUGACAAGGUCUACCUUUAGUAGCCUUCAAUGGCCUUAAACUUAUUAUGUGGCCCAGGUAGACAUGGAACUCAAUCCUUUCUGCCUCAUCCACCUGGGCUUUGUGUUUAAACUUGGUUCCAAGUUAUGGUAGUAAAAGUUUCCAUUGUGUAUGUCUGAGGCAUACAAUACAUUUUGAUGGACAGUCAAAUCAAUUUAUACCUGUAUCUCACAUGGUUAAACUUACGUAUGUAAAAGCACCUAAAUUCCCCUGUACUACUAUAUUGACUGCUGUUCAGCCAUACUUCCCAUUGAUUUAUCUCAAAUAACAGAAAUUAUGUACCCUUUAACCUUUAUCUCUUUUUUUAAAGAUUUAUUGAUUAUGUAUGUAUACAGUGGUAUGCCUGCUUGUAUACCUGCGGGCAGAAGAGGGAACCAGAUCUCAUUACAGUAAGUUGUGAGCUACCAUGUGGUUGCUGGGAAUUGAACUCAUGGUCUCUGUUAAGGGGAGCUAGUGCUCUUAACCUCUGAGAUGUCUCUCUAGCCCUAGCCUGUAUCUCUUAGCCCCCCUUGCACUAUUGUGUGUGCUUCUGUAUACUUGACUUGUUUAUUUCCACAUAUAAAAAAGAAGGGAAAUUAUCUUCAGUUCCUGAAGAUCGGCUGGUGUUAAUGUCACAUACUAAUGCUUUUGGGUCUCUUCCCAUAGCUACCUCCUCUCACAGUGCAGGAGCUUUAUGGACCCUUGCUCUAGCCCACUUUUUAGAUGAGCAUUUUCUCCGCUAAAGCAUUUUAAUGGUGCAUUGUGCUCUCCUUUGAGGUUCAAGUUUUUUCAUAUUUCAGUAGUUAUCCUCUAAAAUGCAUGAGUACUGGAAAUUUGUUUCUUGUGGGUUUGGGUGGUGCUACAUGCCUUUAACCUCAGCACUCGAGGCUGGCCCAUGCAGCAAGUUCUGGGUCAGCCAGGGUUAUGUAGAGAGACCUUGUCUCGUUUUGUUUUGUAAUUUCCUUAGGAUAUGUUGAAUAGUGAGUGGGUCUUGAAGGAAUCAGACUACAAGAUUUUGAUGGGUUUUGCUGACUUGUUUCUCAAGUAUUUGCACCAUACUAGACACAUUUUUUAGCAGACUUUGGAAUUUCUCACAGCCUUUUUAUAGGUGCUGUUACUACCUUUCCUGGUAGUCUUCAGACAGAAUGUUACAUUGCUUUUGGUUCGUUUAUUCAGCAGGCAUGUAAAGCACGCUCAUACCAUGUUAGUUUUUCCUAGUAAGCUGAGCUUUGUUCAUGUGUCCACAAGUCUCUUUUCUCUUUUGUAGAUGUCUGUCAAUGCUCAUCACUAAUGUUUCUGGUGAAAUACGGCUCUCUGUAAUAGUUUUUAUCUCUGUAUGGAUGAGACGUACUUGGGCCAGAUAGUCCUCCUCCCUUCUUUGACUUCUCGUUUCACUUGUCUGUCUUUUUUUGUUUUUCCCCCUUGGGUGAGUUAGUGGCAUUUGUUUCUCCUCUGGCUAAAGCUUGCUCCUCUGUACUGAAGACUUGUCCUCCUACUCAAACCUUAGACAAUAUUUGUUUUAUUCUUUUAAGAACUAAUUUUAUUUUUCUUUCUUAAGCUUGACAAAUGACAAGGAAGGUCUGAAGCAAAGAUUCAGAUGUUUUUUUUUUUCAGAGUAAAUCCCCCAGCAUUGUACACUGAGUCAUCGGUCUUUCCCAGGUAGUUGGUGUUCCCGUUAUUUUCUGUUCCCACACUUUGUUCCGUAGCAGGAUGCCAUGAAGUGCCUGGGUAGUAUCACUUGAGUGCAGGGUGUGAGCAUAGUUUUUACAAACAUUUUAUUAUAAAGUCUCAAAUACACAGCAAAAUUGAAAGUUUUAUGCUAAACUCCUUCCAUUCACCUGCUGGAUGAUGGUUCCACAAUUAAUAUUUUACCAAUCUUUUAUUAAAACCAUGUAUUUAUUGGUGUAAUACUUUCUAAACCAUCAUUUGAACCCCAAGAAGAGUCUUAUAGAAGUUUUCCCUAAUCCAUGUUAUGUCUUUGUAUGUUUCUUUUUAAUUUUCAGAUCUGCUUUUGAGGACUUGUGGGAAUUUUUAUUAGUAGUACCGUAGUGAGCAGCACAGUAUAUAUUGAGGAACACUAUAUUUUCCAGCAUGUUUCUGUUAUCUAACUUUAUGGCUUGACUUCCAAGGCUUAUGAGGUGAUGAGUUUUUUUCUUAAGCCUAGUUCCCUGUUAUAGGUGGCUUUCCCUAACAGUAGUUGUCUCUUGACAAGAUGGUGCAGCAGCUGGGAUGGAAGGUUAGGCCUGACCAGAAGUAGCUGCCCGGACCACAGUGCUAGCCUGAAAGCAGACACUGUCCCAGGUUGCUUUUCUGACGGAUGAACGUUGCUGUGCAAGGGAGCCCUUACUGGGAGAGUAGACUGCCCUGGAGAGCCUCGAACUGCAGACUGUGCCUCCCAGAGGGCUAUUUUCUAACAGCCCUGGUUCAUAGGGAGGGAGCAGCAAGUCCUCAAAGACCUCAGGUCAGAGAGCUCCAGCCCUUUGUCCAGGCUGAGAGCCA